CGUCUAUGAGCCAAGGGAGCUGGAGUCGACCUGGUUAAAGCAGGGGGCCCCUGUUGCCAGUUUAUUCGAUGUUCAGUCCAAAGACCUGAGGCUCUAUCACUCUUCACCUUGCCUCCUUCAUCCAGAUGUUCAUCAAAAACAGGUGGCAAAGAAGGGGGCACAGUGAUCCUACCCGUACUCAGUCAGCACGAGGAGGGGUGCACAUGCUCCUCCCAACAUAGCCGAUUGGACGGCUCGCUCUCCAUCUAGUUUGGGC
rnacentral:lncRNA from 1 species